rnacentral:rRNA from 1 species
CCCUUAGAUGUUCUGGGCCGCACGCGCGCUACACUGACGAAUGCAACGAGCUUAUAACCUUGGCCGAAAGGUCUGGGUAAUCUCAAAAUUUCGUCGUGAUGGGGAUAGAUUAUUGCAAUUAUUAAUCUUCAACGAGGAAUGCCUAGUAAGCGCAAGUCAUCAGCUUGCGUUGAUUACGUCCCUGCCCUUUGUACACACCGCCCGUCGCUCCUACCGAUUGAAUGGUCCGGUGAAGCGUUCGGACCGUGGCCUUUGGACGGUUCGCCGUCUGUUGGCUGCGGGAAGUUCGUUAAACCUUAUCAUUUAGAGGAAGGAGAAGUCGUAACA